rnacentral:lncRNA from 1 species
UAUUAUAUCAGCUACUGUACACGCUACAAGCUACGUUAAUAAACCUUAAAAACUCUUCUCUGUGUAUAUCUUAAUGCUAAUCACCCAGGAUAAAUAAGAAUUAGGAAUAAAUUAGCACUCAGCAUGUACACAAGUGAGUUUUCUUUUGAAGAGUCUAAGGACACUACAAUGGUGACCCCGACUAAACGAAUUAUGACGGUGGAUAGUAUUGGUUAAUACUGUAAAGUGACUUAAUAUAGAUUGAAUCGCCAUAGCUCAUGGACAGCACUCUCGGGAGUUUUCUCUUGAACUUGAUGUUUGUACGUUCGCGCCCCAGCGAUUCCUGGAUAAAUAAAUAAAAUAUAUGUACAUAGAUUUCACCAAAAGAUUCCUAUGUUAGAUGGAGUAAUUAUAACACUGUAAUUUUUACUUUAACUUAAUCAGUGCAAGUCCAUCUAACCAAUUAAAGGAAUAUUAAAAAAAAAAAAAACUAAACUAAGUCACGUUUCAGUGAAACUUCCAUCUUUUACCACCUUAAGGCCUACAGGAUACUUCCUUCGUAUUGAAUAUCAAUUUGAGCUGGCUAAAAUAACUCAGGAAAGGACGAAAUUUAAUUAUCUUUUGAGUGCAAUUCCGGAGGACUUAUUGUACAAAGUCCUGUAUUAUUCUUUAAACAAGUGCCUGAAGUCAGAACAGCCUUACUCGGACUUAAAAGUACUUUUAACAAGAGUUUGUGUAGGUUCAAUGCAAACACUUACCAAUGACUUUGUGAACCUCAUUUCAAACAGGGACAACAUCUCUGUUUGUGAAAUGCAAUCAAAGGCAUGGGACCUUAUUAAUGAAAUAUCCAAGGACAGGACGGAUUUGAAGGAGGCCCUUGUAAAAGAUAUGGUUUUGAAUUGUAUUCCAAUAUCAUCGUGUCAACACCUCACACAAGGUUUUCGUGGAUUAUCCUAUGAGAAAUUCAUAAGGUGUGCAAGAACUGAGGAAAAUGUAAGAACUCUAAAACUUACAUGUUAUAUAGAAAAGGAGCGUGAUGAGGUUAAAGGAAUAAAUAUUAUCAGAAGAAAUGCUGAACCUAAUACCUAAAAAGAAAGGGGAAAAAAUUGAAAAAUUAUAAAAAACAAGCAAUUUUUAAUAUCUGAGGAAAAAUUUACCCAUGGACACAAAUAAAGGGUUAAUAAUUUAUUAUUAAUUAUUUAUAAGCACUGUUUAUUGGCUUUGAUUUGAUACCCAUAUCAAUACUAUACGAAUUACAUAUACGAAUAUACAUUUCGAAACUAUAGUAAAAAAGUACAAAUAAUCUCGUUUUUAAGCCUUUUUUUAGAGCCACCAGCAAAUAAAUUGUCAAGGCCCAUGCGACAAGCAUAGCCGUGGUCCAUGAACCAAAUGACUGUUAUGUUUAGUUUCUGUAGACCUUGGAGAACGGGAAAAAGUUAAAUAU